GACGAACGCUGGCGGCGUGCUUAACACAUGCAAGUCGAACGGAAAGGCCCUGCUUUUGUGGGGUGCUCGAGUGGCGAACGGGUGAGUAACACGUGAGUAACCUGCCCUUGACUUUGGGAUAACUUCAGGAAACUGGGGCUAAUACCGGAUAGGAGCUCCUGCUGCAUGGUGGGGGUUGGAAAGUUUCGGCGGUUGGGGAUGGACUCGCGGCUUAUCAGCUUGUUGGUGGGGUAGUGGCUUACCAAGGCUUUGACGGGUAGCCGGCCUGAGAGGGUGACCGGCCACAUUGGGAUUGAGAUACGGCCCAGACUCCUACGGGAGGCAGCAGUGGGGAACAUUGCACAAUGGGCGGAAGCCUGAUGCAGCAACGCCGCGUGCGGGAUGACGGCCUUCGGGUUGUAAACCGCUUUCGCCUGUGACGAAGCGUGAGUGACGGUAAUGGGUAAAGAAGCACCGGCUAACUACGCGCCAGCAGCCGCGGUGAUACGUAGGGUGCGAGCGUUGUCCGGAUUUAUUGGGCGUAAAGGGCUCGUAGGUGGUUGAUCGCGUCGGAAGUGUAAUCUUGGGGCUUAACCCUGAGCGUGCUUUCGAUACGGGUUGACUUGAGGAAGGUAGGGGAGAAUGGAAUUCCUGGUGGAGCGGUGGAAUGCGCAGAUAUCAGGAGGAACACCAGUGGCGAAGGCGGUUCUCUGGGCCUUUCCUGACGCUGAGAAGCGAAAGCGUGGGGAGCGAACAGGCUUAGAUACCCUGGUAGUCCACGCUGUAAACGGUGGGUACUAGGUGUGGGGUCCAUUCCACGGGUUCCGUGCCGUAGCUAACGCUUUAAGUACCCCGCCUGGGGAGUACGGCCGCAAGGCUAAAACUCAAAGGAAUUGACGGGGCCCCGCACAAGCGGCGGAGCAUGCGGAUUAAUUCGAUGCAACGCGUAGAACCUUACCUGGGUUUGACAUGGAUCGGGAGUGCUCAGAGAUGGGUGUGCCUCUUUUGGGGUCGGUUCACAGGUGGUGCAUGGCUGUCGUCAGCUCGUGUCGUGAGAUGUUGGGUUAAGUCCCGCAACGAGCGCAACCCUUGUUCACUGUUGCCAGCACGUUAUGGUGGGGACUCAGUGGAGACCGCCGGGGUCAACUCGGAGGAAGGUGGGGAUGACGUCAAGUCAUCAUGCCCCUUAUGUCCAGGGCUUCACGCAUGCUACAAUGGCUGGUACAGAGAGUGGCGAGCCUGUGAGGGUGAGCGAAUCUCGGAAAGUCGGUCUCAGUUCGGAUUGGGGUCUGCAACUCGACCUCAUGAAGUCGGAGUCACUAGUAAUCGCAGAUCAGCAACGCUGCGGUGAAUACGUUCCCGGGGCU
rnacentral:rRNA from 1 species